ACUCCUACGGGAGGCAGCAGUGAGGAAUAUUGGUCAAUGGGCGGAAGCCUGAACCAGCCAAGUAGCGUGCAGGAUGACGGCCCUACGGGUUGUAAACUGCUUUUAGGCGGGGGUAAAGUGGCGCACGCGUUGCGCCUUUGCAAGUACCGCCAGAAAAAGGACCGGCUAAUUCCGGCCAGCAGCCGCGGUAAU
rnacentral:rRNA from 1 species